rnacentral:tRNA from 1 species
GCACCCGUGGCCAAGCGGCUAAGGCAAGUGGCUGCAACCCACUGAUCCCCAGUUCGAGUCUGGGCGGGUGCU